rnacentral:lncRNA from 1 species
GCCGACCCAUUCAUUUUAUUACGCAUGCAGAAGCGAAACAAAUCCCCUGACAACAUUUAACUUGGGAUAGAAAAGCAGGCAAUCAAUCACAAUACCAAACACUCAUUUACAAGCACAUAGGCUUAAAUACAACUCUGGGCUGUCUACGAAAUAGACCAGCUCGACAAAAGGGGAACUAUCCUAAAACCAACUAACAGGACACGAUCACCGAUACUUCAGUCUCCACCUUUCCAGACUUAGGGCUUCGGGUCCUCCACAACCGCCAUUUAGGAACCUGAAAUUUUAAUCCCCAAACCGGGAUGAGACGAUGUCUCAGCAAGUUCAACCCCCUAAACCCCUAUUAGAAAGAAAAUACGCCCCGGGUGGUCUAGCCACAUCACACAGAGAACUUACCUCGCCUCAAUUCCUUCCUGCAGGUUAGCACAAUUCAAAUCACUCAAUUACAGAUAGUAAUAGGAACUUAAACAACCGGAUCGCAUUCACUUUCAUAUAACCAACAACCGCGGGGGUCCUGAUUAUAAGACUAAAUCGUUAUGACACGUCCCAUUCCAUGCCACACAAUUUCGUCCCAUAAUCCGACACAUCAACACUCAACAUGCAUUCCAAUUGUUAUUCACUGCCACAUAAGGGCAUAGCCUACUCGCAGUUCGGCUAUCUACUGACAUAUAGCCAGGCAUCGCCUCCCCCCUUGGAGCGCGGCUUCGUCAAUACGUCGACGGCAUUCCCGAAGGAGCAUGGGCCCAGAAUCUACUGCGACCCGCAACCACCGCGUGGGCAUCCCAUAUAGGGGCAAGUCCGGCUCAACAGCCCAGGACGAUUCCUCUUAGUUAUCACACAGUCAAAGCAUACUUGGCCCCAGGACACCUUAUAUUUCACUCAAUACUUCUACUUAAAACAGUGAUCCCGGCCAUUUUUCUUCAUAUUAAAAAAAUAUUUCAUAAAUUAAUCACGUGCGUGGGGACACGCUAAUUUCGAAUCAAAAAGCCAAUAUCUCACUUUUUCAAACCCCACUAUUUAAUAUAAUCAUUAAAAUCCAAUUUUUGCAUCAAAACCCAACACUUGGGUUUUUAUGAAUAAAAUCCAUAUUUAUCACAAUCAACACUCAAUUUGCCACACCCAUUUAUCAAAUUCAAAUUCUAAAUGCACAGCAGCGAUCAGCACUAAAUUCUGAGGAAAUAAAGUUCCAAAAUAAUUUUCAGAAUUUAUUAAAUAAUUAAAUUUAUUCCCAAAAUUAAUUAAAUAAUAAUAUCCCUAUCUUUUACGAUCCACACUCAAUUCAUAAUAUCCAAUUAUCAAUUUCAAAAUCCGACUAUACAGCAACGACCGACACGAAAUUCUGAGAAUUUAGGGUCCCGACAAAAUUUUCGGAAUUUAAUAAAUAAUUAAAUUUAUUCCGAAAAUAAUUAAAUAAUAAUAUUUUAAUAAUUUCGAAUAAUAAUAUAUUAUUAAAUUAUUUAAUGAUUUCGGAAUAUUUAAAUAAAUCAAAAGUAAAUUCAUUUAUGUCACAUCAAUAUUUAUAUUAAUGUAAACAUUCACUUAACCUUAAUUUAAUCACACUUUAAGUUAAUCAAGCACAUUUAUAUAAUCUACACUUAAAUAAAUUAAACUAACCACCUAAUAACACUUAACAUAAACUAAACACACCUAAAGCAUCAUUAACCCUCUAAGCGAGGUUUAGUGAGUUAAACUCACCGGAUUAGCGAGCCGAGCGGACCAAAACGACGAGGACGCCGAGGAGAACAACUUUCCUCAAAGCGGGCCGAGCAUCCGGGCUCGGGAAGGCGGCCAAAACGGGUCAAAACCGAGUUGGAAUACCCAUUUUUUCCAGCUGCUGGUUGCGGCCGAGAAGGGGCUGAUCCGGCGGCGAUU